rnacentral:rRNA from 1 species
GACAGAGGAUGCAAGUGUUAUCCGGAAUCACUGGGCGUAAAGCGUCUGUAGGUGGUUUAAUAAGUCAACUGUUAAAUCUUGAGGCUCAACCUCAAAAUCGCAGUCGAAACUAUUAGGCUAGAGUAUAGUAGGGGUAAAGGGAAUUUCCAGUGGAGCGGUGAAAUGCGUAGAGAUUGGAAAGAACACCGAUGGCGAAGGCACUUUACUGGGCUAUUACUAACACUCAGAGACGAAAGCUAGGGUAGCAAAUGGGG